rnacentral:lncRNA from 1 species
UUUUCAAAGAACCAACUUUUUGUUUCAUUUAUCUUUUGUAUUAUCUGUGAGCCAGGCAUUUAUGUCUCUGUUUUCAGAUGAAAAAUGAAGGUUCAAGGACAUUGAUCACGUUGCUCGGGGUAUAUCUGUACUCUGAGCCUUCUCCUCGGGUUGGUCUAGGUGGAUAUCUUCUCCUGACCAAAAACUGAUAGGAGUCAAAUAUUUUCACCGUCAGAGCAGCUUCUGCUUUUCUACCAAGGUUCUUCCAAAACUUCUGGGAAUGCAUAACGAUGUUUUCUGGUUCUACUUCACCCUGAGCACAAGGGAACCUGGUCCUUGAAUGAACCUGCACUCAAAAAAUCAAACUAAACACCGGAUAGUUUAGAUUGGCAUAAAUGCAAAUCAGAGUGUUGGGCUUUGCUUGUAUUUGCUGACAUGCUAUAGUCCCAGAGUCAAGGUGCCAGGGUCCU